rnacentral:rRNA from 1 species
AUUGAACGCUGGCGGCAUGCCUUACACAUGCAAGUCGAACGGUAACAGGUCUUCGGAUGCUGACGAGUGGCGAACGGGUGAGUAAUACAUCGGAACGUGCCUAGUAGUGGGGGAUAACUACUCGAAAGAGUGGCUAAUACCGCAUGAGAUCUACGGAUGAAAGCAGGGGAUCGCAAGACCUUGUGCUACUAGAGCGGCCGAUGGCAGAUUAGGUAGUUGGUGGGAUAAAAGCUUACCAAGCCGACGAUCUUUAGCUGGUUUGAGAGGACGAUCAGCCACAAUGGGACUGAGACACGGCCCAGACUCCGACGGGAGGCAGAGGUGGGGAAUUUUGGACAAUGGGUGCAAGCUUGAUCCAGCAAUGCCGCCCGCAGAAUGAGGGCCUUCGUGUUGUAAACUGCUUUUUUACGGAACGAAAGUCCCGGUGUUAAUACCCUGGGGUCAUGACGGUACCGUAAGAAUAAGCACCGGCUAACUACGUGCCAGCCGCCGCCGUAA